AGUGAACGCUGGCGGCGUGCUUAACACAUGCAAGUCGAACGGUAACAGGAAGUAGCUUGCUACUUUGCUGACGAGUGGCGCACGGGUGAGUAAUAUAUAGUUAAUGUGCCCCAAAGACCGGGAUAGCCACUGGAAACGGUGAUUAAUACUGGAUACACCUUCAUAUCACAAGGUAUGAAGGGAAAUGUCUUUUCGCUUUGGGAUCAGACUAUAUCCUAUCAGUUAGUUGGUGAGGUAAGAGCUCACCAAGGCAAUGACGGGUAGCGGGUUUGAGAGGAUGAUCCGCCACACUGGUACUGAGACACGGACCAGACUCCUACGGGAGGCAGCAGUGAGGAAUAUUGCACAAUGGGGGGAACCCUGAUGCAGCAACGCCGCGUGGAG
rnacentral:rRNA from 1 species